rnacentral:rRNA from 1 species
GAUGAACGCUGGCGGCGUGCCUAAUACAUGCAAGUCGAGCGAACGGACGAGAAGCUUGCUUCUCUGAUGUUAGCGGCGGACGGGUGAGUAACACGUGGAUAACCUACCUAUAAGACUGGGAUAACUUCGGGAAACCGGAGCUAAUACCGGAUAAUAUUUUGAACCGCAUGGUUCAAAAGUGAAAGACGGUCUUGCUGUCACUUAUAGAUGGAUCCGCGCUGCAUUAGCUAGUUGGUAAGGUAACGGCUUACCAAGGCAACGAUGCAUAGCCGACCUGAGAGGGUGAUCGGCCACACUGGAACUGAGACACGGUCCAGACUCCUACGGGAGGCAGCAGUAGGGAAUCUUCCGCAAUGGGCGAAAGCCUGACGGAGCAACGCCGCGUGAGUGAUGAAGGUCUUCGGAUCGUAAAACUCUGUUAUUAGGGAAGAACAUAUGUGUAAGUAACUGUGCACAUCUUGACGGUACCUAAUCAGAAAGCCACGGCUAACUACGUGCCAGCAGCCGCGGUAAUACGUAGGUGGCAAGCGUUAUCCGGAAUUAUUGGGCGUAAAGCGCGCGUAGGCGGUUUUUUAAGUCUGAUGUGAAAGCCCACGGCUCAGCCGUGGAGGGUCAUUGGAAACUGGAAAACUUGAGUGCAGAAGAGGAAAGUGGAAUUCCAUGUGUAGCGGUGAAAUGCGCAGAGAUAUGGAGGAACACCAGUGGCGAAGGCGACUUUCUGGUUCUGUAACUGACGCUGAUGUGCGAAAGCGUGGGGAUCAAACAGGAUUAGAUACCCUGGUAGUCCACGCCGUAAACGAUGAGUGCUAAGUGUUAGGGGGUUUCCGCCCCUUAGUGCUGCAGCUAACGCAUUAAGCACUCCGCCUGGGGAGUACGACCGCAAGGUUGAAACUCAAAGGAAUUGACGGGGACCCGCACAAGCGGUGGAGCAUGUGGUUUAAUUCGAAGCAACGCGAAGAACCUUACCAAAUCUUGACAUCCUUUGACAACUCUAGAGAUAGAGCCUUCCCCUUCGGGGGACAAAGUGACAGGUGGUGCAUGGUUGUCGUCAGCUCGUGUCGUGAGAUGUUGGGUUAAGUCCCGCAACGAGCGCAACCCUUAAGCUUAGUUGCCAUCAUUAAGUUGGGCACUCUAAGUUGACUGCCGGUGACAAACCGGAGGAAGGUGGGGAUGACGUCAAAUCAUCAUGCCCCUUAUGAUUUGGGCUACACACGUGCUACAAUGGACAAUACAAAGGGCAGCGAAACCGCGAGGUCAAGCAAAUCCCAUAAAGUUGUUCUCAGUUCGGAUUGUAGUCUGCAACUCGACUACAUGAAGCUGGAAUCGCUAGUAAUCGUAGAUCAGCAUGCUACGGUGAAUACGUUCCCGGGUCU